CGCUGGAGGCCCCAGGGUGGGACCGCGGCCUAUCAGGUAGUAGGUGGGGUAACGGCCCACCUAGCCUACGACGGGUACGGGCCCUGAGAGGGGGAGCCCGGAGAUGGGCACUGAGACAAGGGUCUAGGCCCUAAGGGGCGCAGCAGGCGCGAAGAUUCCGCAAUGCCCGAAAGGGCGACGGAGUGAACCCGAGUGCCACCCGCUGAGGGUGGCUGUUCCCCUGUGUAAAAAGCAGGGGGCAGGAAGGGGAGGGCAAGGCUGGUGGCAGCCGCCGCGGUAAAACCAGCUCCCCGAGGGGUUCCCACGCAUACUGGGCCUAAAGCGUCCGUAGCCGGCCCUGUAAGUCUGCAGUUAAAUCCGCCUGUAGACAGGCGGGUUGCUGCAGAUACUGCAGGGCUAGGGAGCGGGAGGAGCCGGGGGUAUUCCCGGGGGAGCGGUAAAAUGCGUAGAUCCCGGGAGGACCACCAGUGGCGAAGGCGCCCGGCUUGAACGCGUCCGACGGUGAGGGACGAAAGCUGGGGGAGCAAACCGGAUUAGAUACCCGGGUAGUCCCAGCCGUAAACGAUGCCGGCUAGGUGCUGGCCAAGGUUUCGGCCUUGGCCAGUGUCGAAGCGAAGGCAUUAAGCCGGCCGCCUGAGGAGUACGGCCGCAAGGCUGAAACUUGAAGGAAUUGACGGGGGGGCACCACAAGGGGUGAAUGCCUGCGGCUUAAUUGGACUCAACGCCGGGAAUCUUACCGGGGGCGACAGCAGGAUGAAGGUCAGGCUGAAGACCUUACCAGACGCGCUGAGGGGUGGUGCAUGGCCGUCGCCAGCUCGUGCCGUGAGGUGUCCUGUUAAGUCAGGCAACGAGCGAGACCCCCGCCCCUAGUUGCCAGCGGCCUCCUUCGGGAGGGACCGGGCAAACUAGGGGGACCGCCUCCGAAGAGGAGGAGGAAGGUGGGGGCUACGGCAGGUCAGUAUGCCCCUAAUCCCCCGGGGCGCACGCGGGCUGCAAUGGGCGGGACAGCGGGAUG
rnacentral:rRNA from 1 species